UACGAAGGGUGCAAGCGUUAAUCGGAAUUACUGGGCGUAAAGGGUGCGUAGGCGGUUCGUUAAGUCUGUCGUGAAAUCCCCGGGCUCAACCUGGGAAUGGCGGUGGAUACUGGCGAGCUAGAGUGUGUCAGAGGAUGGUGGAAUUCCCGGUGUAGCGGUGAAAUGCGUAGAGAUCGGGAGGAACAUCAGUGGCGAAGGCGGCCAUCUGGGACAACACUGACGCUGAAGCACGAAAGCGUGGGGAGCAAACAGG
rnacentral:rRNA from 1 species